UAGAGGAAGGAGAAGUCGUAACAAGGUUUCCGUAGGUGAACCUGCGGAAGGAUCAUUAUCGAUACCCGACCAAGACGACCCGCGAACUCGUGAACGAACGUCGGCGGGGCGGGCAUCUGCCCGUUUCGUCGGCCCACCCCGACGUCCCUCCUGCCCUCGGGCGUGGGGGUCGACGGGGACCACGGACGAACCCCGGCGCGACAUGGCGCCAAGGAACACAAGAGAGACGGAAGCGUGGGGACGCCCCCCUUGGGCGCCCCCUGCGGCCGACCAUACUUAUACUUAGAUGACUCUCGGCAACGGAUAUCUAGGCUCUCCCAUCGAUGAAGAACGCAGCGAAGUGCGAUACCUGGUGUGAAUUGCAGAAUCCCGUGAACCAUCGAGUCUUUGAACGCAAGUUGCGCCCGAGGCCUUCUGGCCGAGGGCACGCCUGCCUGGGCGUCACGCAAACGACGCUCCGCCCCCUUGGCCCCCUGGGCGGGCGGCGGACGCGGACGAUGGCCCUCCGCGCCCACGGACGCGGCGGGCUGAAGCACGGGCCGUCGGCAGGGACCGAGACACGGCGAGUGGUGGACGUAUCUUCACGCGAGCCGGACGUCGUGCCUUAGGCUCCCUUCGAGGAAGGCCCUCCGGACCCUUUGAACCGAGGCGCUUGCCGUCAUCGGACCGCGACCCCAGGUCAGGCGGGACUACCCGCUGAGUUUAAGC
rnacentral:rRNA from 1 species